rnacentral:rRNA from 1 species
CCUACGGGUGGCUGCAGUGAGGAAUAUUGGUCAAUGGGCGCGAGCCUGAACCAGCGAAGUAGCGUGAAGGAUGACUGCCCUACGGGCUGUAAACUUCUUUUAUAAAGGAAUAAAGUGAGGCACGUGUGCAUCAUUGUAUGUACUUUAUGAAUAAGGAGCGGCUAACUCCGUGCCAGCAGCCGAGGUAAUACGGAGGAUCCGAGCGUUAGCCGGAUUUAUUGGGUUUAAAGGGAGCGUAGACGGGUUGUUAAGUCAGUUGUGAAAGUUUGCGGCUCAACCGUAAAAUUGCAAUUGAUACUGGCAGUCUUGAGUGCAGUAGAGGUAGGCGGAAUUCGUGGUGUAGCGGUGAAAUGCUUAGAUAUCACGAAGAACUCCGAUGGCGAAGGCAGCUUACUAAACUGCCACUGACGUUGAUGCUCGAAAGUGUGGGUAUCAAACAGGAUUAGAUACCCUUGUAGUC